AUUGAACGCUGGCGGCAGGCCUAACACAUGCAAGUCGAGCGGGGUUUUCGGACCUAGCGGCGGACGGGUGAGUAAUGCGUAGGAAGCUACCCGAUAGAGGGGGAUACCAGUUGGAAACGACUGUUAAUACCGCAUAAUGUCUACGGACCAAAGUGUGGGACCUUCGGGCCACAUGCUAUCGGAUGCGCCUACGUGGGAUUAGCUAGUUGGUGGGGUAAUGGCUCACCAAGGCGACGAUCCCUAGCUGGUUUGAGAGGAUGAUAAGCCACACUGGAACUGAGACACGGUCCAGACUCCUACGGGAGGCAGCAGUGGGGAAUAUUGGACAAUGGGCGCAAGCCUGAUCCAGCCAUGCCGCGUGUGUGAAGAAGGCCUUCGGGUUGUAAAGCACUUUCAGUAGGGAGGAGGGGUGUUGUGUUAAUAGCACAGCAUUUUGACGUUACCUACAGAAGAAGCACCGGCUAACUCUGUGCCAGCCGCCGCCGUAAAAC
rnacentral:rRNA from 1 species